GGACCCGCACAAGCGGUGGAUUAUGUGGAUUAAUUCGAUGCAACGCGAAAAACCUUACCUACCCUUGACAUGUCCCGAAGCCCGGAGAGAUCCGGGGGUGCCCGAAAGGGAACGGGAACACAGGUGCUGCAUGGCUGUCGUCAGCUCGUGUCGUGAGAUGUUGGGUUAAGUCCCGCAACGAGCGCAACCCUUGUCAUUAGUUGCUACAUUCGGUUGGGCACUCUAAUGAGACUGCCGGUGACAAACCGGAGGAAGGUGGGGAUGACGUCAAGUCCUCAUGGCCCUUAUGGGUAGGGCUUCACACGUAAUACAAUGGCGCGUACAGAGGGUUGCCAAGGGGUGACCUGGAGCCAAUCCCUUAAAGCGCGUCGUAGUCCGGAUUGCAGUCUGCAACUCGACUGCAUGAAGUCGGAAUCGCUAGUAAUCGCGGAUCAGCAUGUCGCGGUGAAUACGUUCCCGGGUCUU
rnacentral:rRNA from 1 species